CGAAAAGUUAUGCAAAAUACAUAAAUAUUAAUGUGACAAAGAAACGUGAUUUACAGUAAAUUGACAUAAAAGUAGCUGUAAUAUUUAAAUUGCAUUACAGCUGAUUUAUUUGGUGGCAUGUGUUUGAAUAGAGAUAUCCAUCAAAACGAUCAGAGAUCGCCUGAUAAGCGUACACGCUGCGGCGGCGGGAGGCGGCAGUCAUGUUAACAAAACCACUAGCGACAGAUAGACAUAAGCACGGAAAGCCCACACGGCAUCGAUAUGUAUAUCAACAUCUACGGUAUCUAGGUGUUUUCAGGCGAUUUCCCAUACCAGUCGCUCGCUGCGUGCCCAGUCGUUUAAACGCCCCUCUUUACGGCUUCUCGCGCUACGAGCUACGACGACGUAGCGCGAAACGAUUUAAUCUAGGUAUAACUGUGUAAAUUAUUGUGUAAAUUAUACUGAGUACAUAUAUAAAUUUAAAAAUAAAAAAAUUGUUUUACUAGUAUUACUGGACGAACAUAUUAUUUUAGUUGUGCUUCAGUGUGUUAUGUUUGAAAAUUGAAAAAUUUGGAUUCGUUGGAAAUCCUUGUUGAUUUUAGGGACUGUUUGUAAAUAAACAUUCUUACGUUAGUUUCAAGCGAUCAAAGUUUGUCCGGCCGAUAGUUAAGUGUUUUUGGAAGUAUAAUAAGUUUUGGGAUAAACUAUUGAAUAACGUAUAACUUCGUAAUUUCUGUGGUUGUCUGGUUGAAGUGAAGUGUGAUUAUAGACUUAGUGAUGUCCGCGUGUGUGGUGGAAGAGGGUCGAGACGAGGGCGGCGGUAGCGUGGAGGAGAGCGAGUUCGACGAGAUAGAGCGCCCUCGCCGCGAGGUGCUAUUAAGCGCUCGAGGGCGGCGAGCCUGUUCUGAGCAGGGUCCGCACCAAUCUCAUUACAUGCAGCAUGGCACGAGUCACCUGUGGGGGUCAAACAGUGGUCGUCGCGGAUGGAGUCGCAAGCGAACCUCGGCACCUCAAAUGGGCAACACGCAAGGCUCUAUGCCGCGUGUUGCUCUAGUGCUUCGGUCAAGACGCAGCUGGCCUGUUGCACCUCAGUCAUAUCGCAG
rnacentral:misc_RNA from 1 species